GAUGAACGCUGGCGGCGUGCUUAACACAUGCAAGUCGAACGGAAAGGCCCAAGCUUGCUUGGGUACUCGAGUGGCGAACGGGUGAGUAACACGUGGGUGAUCUGCCCUGCACUUCGGGAUAAGCCUGGGAAACUGGGUCUAAUACCGGAUAGGACGAUGGUUUGGAUGCCAUUGUGGAAAGUUUUUUCGGUGUGGGAUGAGCUCGCGGCCUAUCAGCUUGUUGGUGGGGUAAUGGCCUACCAAGGCGUCGACUGGUAGCCGGCCUGAGAGGGUGUACGGCCACAUUGGGACUGAGAUACGGCCCAGACUCCUACGGGAGGCAGCGGUGGGGAAUAUUGCACAAUGGGCGCAAGCCUGAUGCAGCGACGCCGCGUGGGGGAUGACGGCCUUCGGGUUGUAAACUCCUUUCGCUAGGGACGAAGCGUUUUUGUGACGGUACCUGGAGAAGAAGCACCGGCUAACUACGU
rnacentral:rRNA from 1 species